rnacentral:rRNA from 1 species
AGAACGAACGCUGGCGGCAUGCCUAACACAUGCAAGUCGAACGAGACCUUCGGGUCUAGUGGCGCACGGGUGCGUAACGCGUGGGAAUCUGCCCUUGGGUUCGGGAUAACAGUUGGAAACGACUGCUAAUACCGGAUGAUGACUUCGGUCCAAAGAUUUAUUGCCCAGGGAUGAGCCCGCGUAGGAUUAGCUAGUUGGUGAGGUAAAGGCUCACCAAGGCGACGAUCCUUAGCUGGUCUGAGAGGAUGAUCAGCCACACUGGGACUGAGACACGGCCCAGACUCCUACGGGAGGCAGCAGUGGGGAAUAUUGGACAAUGGGCGAAAGCCUGAUCCAGCAAUGCCGCGUGAGUGAUGAAGGCCUUAAGGGUUGUAAAGCUCUUUUACCCGGGAAGAUAAUGACUGUACCGGAGAAUAAGCCCCGGCUAACUCCGCGCCAGCAAGCCGC